AGUGCAAGAAUGGCCUGUGUCUCGGUUACCGCAAAGGACUCGCAAGCCUCCGCCAGCCCCGGGGUGGAGGCCACAGGAGCACUGACGUCGUGGUAUCAGAAAGGCGGACAGUGCAGCCUUAGUGUUCCCCAGGGGUGGGAGGAAGCUCCCGGCCCCGUCCCCACCCCGCCUCGCUUCCCAGGGAGCGGCGGUUGGGCAGGAGCGGGGCAGAAAUCCGCCGCCGGGCCCGGGGAGGGGACCAGGCCGCGCCCAUCUCCCAGGCCUCUGGCUGCAGCAGGCCCGCUGGGUGGUCGGCGAGGCCCGGGGGCGCCGCGUCGAGCUGCGGUCCCCUCCCUCAACCUUCCCGGGCGCCGCCACCCCUUUUCCCCCCAGCACCAGGGUACCUGCACGGCGCGACUGAGGAAGGUGCCUGCGUCGGCCGCCAGCUUCUUCACGUUGAAGUCCAUGAUAUUCAUCCUAGGCGGCAGCCGGGCGGAGCCGGCCGACCUAGCGGCGGCGAGGCGGAGGUGCCGCGGCCGGGCUGGGGCGCAGGGCUAGAGCGGCGAGGGCAGACGUGGUAGGUGGAGGGAGGCGGCGCCAGCCCCGCAGCCGCAGCUGUCGUUUCCGUGAACGGGGAGGAUGAAGGCGGGGCGAGGGAGGAGAACAAGCGCGCGGCGGCAGCGCCAAGGAUGGGUCAGUCGGCUCGGAGAACGGCCGCUAACGUCGACGAUGGGCCCCGCGGGCGAGCCGGAGAUGGACGGGCGACCCCGCCGUGUGGACCCGGGUCCCAAGGGAAAAACAAGCGCGGGCCGCGGGGCGGAGCCUUUCUCGAGGUUAUCGCGGGAACAGCGACCCCUUGAGGAUUGCGGCGGCGCAGCCCCGGGGCGCGCCGGGAGCUCCGCCCGGCUCCUGUGGAGGAAGCGGCGAGGGCGAGCCGCGGGGUCUCGGCGCCUCUGUAUGCUUGCACUUAACGAGAACCCAGAGCGAACACGACCCACAUUUCUCUUUUUGUUUUAAGAGGAAAUAUAGGAGUUACAGCAUAGAAUUACAAUAUCUGGACAUUAGAAAUAACAGGUCCCGGUCACGGUAUGGCACCGCGCGACACACUUGGUCCCUGAGGCCUGGAUGCCGCUCAGCAAACGUUCGCGGAAUAGGGUUGGGUUUACUGUCCCCCACCGAGCCGGUUGCUCAUUCAUUCAGCAUAAUUGAAUACCUCCUGUGUGCCAGGCACUGAAUCAAGUGUCGGAGACAAUGUCCUGCCCUCAAGCUCCUGGCCGGUUACUUGACAACCUUCCGGGACCUCAACGCUAUGUGCCUACUGUGUGAAAGCAAAGUGCCAGGUGGAGGACACAAAGAUGGCGAGCGACACAGGAUAGUCCUUAACAAUUAAGCGUGACUAAUUUUAAUAACAAAUGAGAAUAUGAUGUGACAUCCGUUCCAAAUCCUGUCGUUCCAAGUAACUUCUUAAGCAUCUUUCACGAUACAGCCUCUGCUUGAAAGGAAUUAAAACAGGUACAAGCAUGGAAGGAGACGUUGCUAUCAUAUUUCAAGAAUAAGAAAAUGCUGUUUUGUGUGGUUGUGCAGCAGGCAAUGAAAUGAGCUUACAUUCAAGCUUCCGUGUUUUACUGAAACAACAGUCACAGAUGCAGUAGAUGUUAAAGGUUGAAAGACGAGUGCAGUAAAAGCAUUAUGAGGACAAGAAGAAAACGUAAAUAUUUGUGUUGUUUCAUUCUUUGUUGUGGUGGCAGAAACAGCCCCCUCUUUCUAAGAUCUUUAUGUGGAAAAGCACUUACUCUCUUCCCAGAGCACUGUUUUUAAAGUAGGUAUAUUUGCCAUAACCUAUGCUCGUCUCUACAAAAGGAUCACACCACCGUGUCCACCAUUAAAGGGGAAAUUCUUUAAUGGUGGACACAGUGGUGUCCCUGAAUCCUCAUCCUCAAGUGUUUCAAUCUUCCCAGUCUUGGGAAAACAACAAUGUUACUUCUUUCUUUUGCACCCUCUGUAGCUGUAAUCCUGUUUCCCCAUUCUCCAUAAAAGACUUACCUUAUUUUCAUAUAUCCUUAUUCUUAGCCUUUGACACUUUUUUUUUUGAGACAGAGUUUUGCUGUGUCACCCAGGCUGGAGUGCAAUGGUGUGAUCUCAGCUCACUGCAACCUCUGCCUCCUGGGUUCAAGGAUUCUCCUGCCUCAGCCUUCCAAGUAGCUGGGAUUACAAGCAUGCAUCACCACGCCCGGCUAAUUUUUUAUAUCUUUAGUAGAGACAGAGUUUCACCAUGUGGGCCAGGCUGGUCUCGAACUCCUGGCCUCAAGUGAUCCGCCUGCCACAGCCUCCCAAAGUGCUGGGAUGACAGGUGUGAGCCACCGCACCCAGCUGAUUCGCUUUCUUUACAGAGAAAAUAUAAAUCAUCACUCUGUUUGGCAGAAGCCUCUUCAACCAAAUUUCCUUAUUUCCACCUCCUGUUCUCUCCACACUCUUUCCUGCAUCAUUGCCAAAUGUUUCAAAGGAAUAGGUGUCUCAGGUGUUCUGAGUAGAGCCACUGCUCCCUUAAUCUUGGCUGCACAUCAGCAUCACCUGGAGAGUUUAAGCAACCACUGAUGCCUGGAUCCAGUCCCAGAGUGUGGACUGGGCAUUGGGAUGUUUUAGGAGUUCCUCUAGGUGUUCUUAAUGUGUGACCAAGGUUGAGAACUAAUUUGUCACCCUCUAGAACUUGCUCCAUCAGUCUCUACCCUUUGCCUACAGACUGAUUCUACUUCUCUUACCAGAUAUCAGUCCCUUAAGGGCAGUGUCCGUUUCCUAUUUAUUUUUAUAUAUUUUAUGGUUUACACAGGCAACAUAGUGAAUUCCCAAAUGAUUUAGUAAGUGAAAAAAGUAAUCAAAUCAAGAUGUUUACAGUGCUAAGCUCUUUUGUGACACCAUCACCCCCAGCCUAAAUUUCCAACUAUUUAUCCAUAGAUUCAAUAUUUCCAGUGGCAAGUCUGUUAUAGUUUGCUUUUCCUGAAAAUUCUUCUUUUCUUGGGUUUCCUACAUUGAUAAAUUGAAUCAUACACACCAAAUCACCUAAGCCAGAAAUCUGAGUCCCCUUUGAUUAUUUCCUCUUAUUUCCCACCACCAAUUGGUCUAUCCUGGCAAUUUCUUCUCUGAAACUGUUUCCUAUUUUUCAUUUUCAUCCUCUUUUUAAAAACAAAUUUUUUAACUUGAAACAAUUUACAAACUAAGAAAACUGUUGCAAGAAUAGUACAAAAACUUCUGUGUACCCUUUGCCUAGAAACCCCACUCAAACUUUGCCAAUUAUUCCAAUGUCUUUACAGCAAAAACGUCCCAGCCAAGAAAGAUCAUGUGCUGCAUCCAGUUAGCUUGUUGCUCAAUUCUCCUUCAGUCUGGAUCAAUUAUUCAGGCUUUUCUUGACACUAUUCCUUCCCCAGAGUUAGCCACUAUUUUUAAAUUGGUAUGAUUAAUAUCUGUUAUGUUUUUGUACUUUCACUGAAUUUAUAUGUAUCUAUGAAUGGUACUACUAUGUUAUAUUUUUAAACUGCAUAAAUGAUAUCAUAUAGAUAAAUCCUUUUGCAUUUAGGGGUCUAAUACUUCUAUUUGUGUAUUUGAUGACCUUUUUGUUUGUGGAUUGAUUCCUUUUGCUUUGUACAUUGAUUCCUUUUAGCUUUUUUUUUUAUGGCUCAUUUUUAGUGAUACAGAAAAAAAUGUUUCUUCUGUCAGAGACCCCUAAGGUUAUCACUGGCUAGUGAGCAAUUUUUACAUGAAUUUCUUUCUUGGCUUAGAAGUUCUAAGAUCAUUCAGAUAUUAUAAAUUUGAACCCAGAUUUGUGGGAGUACAAACUAUGAUUCAAAUUCUCAAGGGAGAGAGAUCUUCCUUGUUUUUUUCUCUUUCAGAGCUUGUGCCUUGACAGAAAAGCUUCUUACUAUGCCAGAAGAAAAGCUUCUAUCUAGUCUACCCUUUCAUUGAGGGUACAGAAUUUCAUGGGUUUUUAACUUAUGUGUGUGUGUGAGGUCAUGAAGUUGGGGGACAGGGUGUGCUCACAGUUAACUGAUUUCUGUUUGCACCAAGGGCCCAAGGUCUUAUCACAAGUUACCGUGUAUUUUUAAAAAUUAUAAAGGCCAGGCGCGGUGGCUCAUGCCUAUAAUCCCAGCACUUUGGGAGGCUGAGGUGGGUGGAUAACUUGAGGUCAGGAGUUCAAGACCAGCCUGGCCAACAUGGUGAAACCCUGUCUCUACUAAAAAUACAAAAAUUAGCCGGGUGUGGUGGUGGGUGCUUGUAAUCCCAGGUACUCGGGAGGCUGAGGCAGGAGAAUCACUUAAACCGAGGAGGUUGCAGUGAGCUGAGAUCACGCCAUUGCAUUCCAGCUUGGGCAACAAGAGCGAAACUCCAUCUUAAAAAAAAAAUUAAUGAAAAUUGACAAAUGAUAAUUGUAUAUACUGUAUUGUAUACAACCUGAUUUGUAAUAUGUAUACAUCUUGGAAUGGCUAAAUUGAGUGACUUAACAUAUGUAUUACGUCACAUACUUAUUUUUAUGGUGAGAACACUUAAAGUCUGUUCUUAGUGAUUUUGAAGAAUACAACAUGUUGUUAACUAUAGUCACUAUGUUGUACAAUAGAUCUCUUGAACUUAUUCCUCCUAUGUAACUGAAAUUGUAUAUCCUUUGACCAGCGUCAUCCAGCUCCCUCACUCUCUCCCAGCCCUUGCUAACCACCAUUCCACUCUUUGCUUCUAUUGAGUUCAACUUUUUUAGAUUCCAUAUUUAAGUGAGAUCAUGCAAUAUUCAUCUUUCUGGGCCUGGCUUAUUUCACUUAACAUAAUGUCUUUAAGGUUCAUCUAUGUUGUCACAAAUGACAGGAUUUCCUUCUUUUUAGAGGCUGAAUAGUUUUCCAUUGUAUACAUAUAUCACAUUUUUAAAAUCCAUUUAUCACCUCAUGGAUUUAAACAUUCAAGCACCAUCCUCAUUCAAUCCUUUCUCCUCUCCAGACAGGGUCAUAUUCUGUAUUCAAGACCCUGGUGUCCAGUUUCUUUUUUUAUUUUUGCCACCUGAAUAUUUCCCUGUCUUUUUUUUUGUAAGCUCAAGUAUGCAUUAUUAUUAAUUAAUUAAUUUAUUUUGCUGCAUUUUACCCAGCAUUUCUAAGUAUUUGUAGUAGAAGAGUUUUCAUGUUAUCUAGUCUGUAUUGAUUAAGGACUGCUUAUGUUCAGCUCAAGUAACAGAAACCUAGCUGUAGUGACUUACCCAAAUACUGAUUUAUUUUCUCACCCUCUAAGAAGUUCAGAGGUAGGCAGUCUUCUGUGUUUUUGUUUUUCUAUUCUUAUCAUGUAGCUUUCAUCCUAAUGUCUCAAGAUGGCUCCUGUAAUUCUAGGCAUUAAAUAUGUUUUUAAGGCAGAAAAAGGAUGAAAAGUAAAGGCAAAAGUACAUGCCAACUGAGUCUACUUCUUACUCCUUAAAUCAAGAAAACAGCUUUUUCAUAAACCCCACGUAGUAAACUUUGGUUUACAUCUCAUUAGCUAGAACUGGGUCGUUUAGUUCUCCGUAAAUGCAUUAGAGACUGAUAAAUGAAAUGUGCCCUGUUGAAAAAUAAGUAUUUCAAUUUUUUAUAUCUUUAAAAAAAUCUAUAUCAAAAAUACAUAUAUAUGUAUCUAUAUAUCUAUAUAUAUCUAUAUAUAGAUACAUAUAAAUUCAGUUGAAAGUAUACAAUCAUAAUAGAAAUUAGUAUUUUAUUUUUAAAUCUUUCUUUAUUUCUUAAACAGCACUUACUGUCAUCCUGAACAAAAAUGGGGUUUCUGUUAGCAAGGCAGAAAGAGAAUAGUUAUAGGGUAAGCAACUAUCAAUGUCUGCCAUGCUGCUGUAAGGCAAGAAUUGAAAGUCUCCCAUGCUCACUGAAACUUCCUUUCAGUUUUUAGACUGAUAAACAGGGCCACUUACAUAAUUCGCAGGGACCAAUGCAAAACGAAAAUAUGGAGCCCUUUGUUCAAGAGCAAAAGGAAAGUGCUGUUUAAAGGUAUUAAAAUAAAACUUUUUCCUUUAUUUUGUGAUCUCUUUUGACUUGUCAUUUUUUUAUUUGCUGUUUAAUGUCAUUCUAAGCAAAGAAAAGAUUAUAAUUUAAAUUAUUAGAAUGAUUUUUACCAUACAUCUUCAUGUUGUACAAUGACAGUGUUAUGUUAUGUUAUGUUAUGUUAUGUUAUGUUAUGUUAUGUUAUGUUAUGUUAUGUUAUGUUAUUUUUUGAGAUGGAGUCUCACUGUGUUGCCCAGGCUGGAGUGCAGUGGCACAGUCUUGGCUCACUGCAACCUCUGCCUCCCGAGUUCAAGUGAUUCUCCUGCCUCAGCCUCCCAAGUAGCUGGGAUUACAGGUGCCUGCUACCAUGCCCAGCUAAUUUUUGUAUUUUUAGUGGAGACGGGUUUUUGCCAUGUUGGCCAGGGUGGUCUCAAACUCUGUAAUCUGCCUGCCUCGGCCUCCCAAAGUGCUGUGAUUACAGGCAUGAGCCACCGCGCCCGGCCCUACAAUGCCAGUUUUAAAACAAAUAUAAGAGCAUUUCCCAGCCUCACUAAUUAUCAGGGAAAUGCAAAUCAAAACCGCAAUGCAAUACCACCUUACUCCUGCAAGAAUGGCCUUUAAUUAAAAAAAAAAAAAAGAUGUUGGCAUGGAUGUGGUGAAAAGAGAACACUUUCACACUGCUGGUGGGAAUGCAAACUAGUACAACCACUGUGGAAAACAGUGUGGAGAUUCCUUAAAGAACUAAAAGUAGGUCUACCAUUUGAUCCAGCAAUCCCCCUAUUGGGUAUCCACCCAGAGGAAAAGAAGUCAUUAUACGAAAAAGAUACUUGCACAUGCAUGUUUAUAGCAGAACAAUUCACAAUUUCAAAAAUAUGUAACCAGCUCAAAUGCCAAUCAAUCAACAAGUGGAUAAAGAGAAUGUUGUAUAUAUUUUCUGGAAUACUACUCAGCCAUAAAAAGGAAUGAAAUAAUGGCAUUCAUAGCAACCUGGAUGGAAUUAGAGACCAUUAUUCUGAGUGAAGUAACUCAGGAAUGGAAAACCAAGCAUCGUAUGUUCUCACUCAUAAGUGGGAGCUAAUCUAUGAGGACAUAAAGGCUUAAAAAUGUUUCAAUGGACUUUGGGGACUUGGAGGAAAGGGUUGGUGUGGGGGUGGGGCAUAAAAGACUACACAUUGGGUACAGUGUACAUUGCUCGGGUAACGGGUGCACCAAAAUCUCAGAAAUCACCAUUAUGGAACUUAUUCGUGUAACCAAACCCCACCUGUUACCCAAAAACCUAUUGAAACAAAAAAAUUAUAGAUAAAAAACAAAUAUAACAGCAUUUAAGAUGUAUGUAGAAUCAUUGAAAUUGUACAAUUUGUAUUUCACAGUACACGCAUGCAUAUGUAUUUUGUUCUUACUAAAACAGUGGAAAUGCGGCAUGAAACUAAAUCAAUUUUUAAAAAUUUUAUUUCUUGAUAUGUGCAUAUUCCACCAAUACUCUACUUUUGGCCUGCUGAUGAAGAGUAAGGAAGGACUGAAAGGAGGAGAAACUAUGGGUUGCCUUUUCCUUCUGUCAUCUGUUCAGCGUAAGUGGUUGGCAGCUUUAAAAAACCAUUUACUUUGUACUCUCAUUGGUCUUCUGGAAUUCACUACUCAUAGAUGUAUUGAAAACACUAUAUAUGAAUGGGGCCUCAAGGAACAGCAGCAGACAUGUGUCUGUAAGUGCUGAUGUAUAAAGAUUUCCAAGAUACCAUAUUAAUAAAAAAAGUGUAUGGAACAGUGUAUGGGUAAUUGAGUGUAAAUAAAAAGGAAUAUGUGUUAUAUAUAUAUGUAAGUACUUUGUAUAUGCAUAACUUGUAAAAUAAAAAUAAUUUUAAGAAACUACAUAUAGCAGUUACCUUUGGGGAGAAGGUAUGGGGUAAGGAGCGGGAAGGGUAGGAAGCUUUCACAUUUUAUUUUGUAUCUUUCUGUACUUCUUGGAUUUACAACAUGUGUAUGUAUAUGUAGAUAUACACACAUGUAUAACAUUUCUUUCAUGUUUUUAUUUUUAGAUU
rnacentral:lncRNA from 1 species